rnacentral:rRNA from 1 species
GUCCACGCCCUAAACGAUGUCGACUAGUUGUCGGGUCUUUACAGACUUGGUAACGCAGCUAACGCGUGAAGUCGACCGCCUGGGGAGUACGGUCGCAAGAUUAAAACUCAAAGGAAUUGACGGGGACCCCGCACAAGCGGUGGAUGAUGUGGAUUAAUUCGAUGCAACGCGAAAACCUUACCUACCCUUGACAUGGCAGGAACGAGGCAGAGAUGUCUCGGUGCCCGAAAGGGAGCCUGCACACAGGUGCUGCAUGGCUGUCGU